rnacentral:rRNA from 1 species
GGAAAACUCACCAGGUCCAGACAUAAUAAGGAUUGACAGAUUGAUAGCUCUUUCUUGAUUUUAUGGGUGGUGGUGCAUGGCCGUUCUUAGUUCGUGGAGUGAUUUGUCUGCUUAAUUGCGUUAACGAACGAGACCUUAACCUGCUAAAUAGAAGUGCCUAUCUUCGGAUAAGCGCCUUUCUUCUUAGAGGGACUGUAUGCGUUUCAGCAUGCGGAAGUUUGAGGCAAUAA